UGGCGGACGGGUGAGUAACGCGUGGGUAACCUGCCUCAUACAGGGAGAUAACAGUUAGAAAUGACUGCUAAUACCGCAUAAGCGCACAGUACCGCAUGGUACGGUGUGAAAAACUCCGGUGGUAUGAGAUGGACCCGCGUCUGAUUAGGUAGUUGGUGGGGUAACGGCCUACCAAGCCGACGAUCAGUAGCCGACCUGAGAGGGUGACCGGCCACAUUGGGACUGAGACACGGCCCAA
rnacentral:rRNA from 1 species